UCCACUGGAUUUUGUAAGUCGCUCUGGAUAAGAGCGUCUGCUAAAUGACCUAAA
rfam:Salmo salar isolate Sally breed double haploid chromosome ssa04, whole genome shotgun sequence.